GGGGUUGUGGCUCAGUGGUAGAGUGCUUGCUUAGGAUGCUUGAGGCAAUGAUUUAAAUCCUCAGCACCA
rnacentral:tRNA from 1 species